rnacentral:lncRNA from 1 species
AAAAAACAAAACAAACACAUAAAAUAUUAGCGAAAGUCUCUCAUCUAAUGAGAAGCACAUAGAGCUGAUAAACAUAAAAAUCGAAACUUUAUUUAUCUUUGUUGUUCUCUUUGGGUCACAAUAGACCGGCCCAUUAGCCUAGUCACACCGGCCCAUUAGCCCAGUCAACUCCAUUGUAGAAGAGAGGACUUGAUUUUGGGUGAGAUUGAGAGAGAGAAGAAGAGAAUCGUCAAGUGUUUAUGGUGGUGAAAGUUAUAAGAAUCGUUAAAUUUGACGAAAGGGCACGAGACUAUGCACACCAGUUGCUCGACGAAUUGUCUAACUAAGAUAUUCUUUCUCUAAAUCUGCUUUUUUUUUUUUGUUUGGUUCUUUAAUUAUGUUUUUGCUGUUAACUGUUCGAAUUUGUGAUCAUACCCUUUAGAUUAUUAGAAUCAUAUCUUCUCUAGUGAUAUGUGUGUGAAUGAAUCAAUGAUAAAAGACUCUCCUUUUUCUUAAUCAAACUGUGCUUUGUACGUAAUUUUUAUCUAUUAUAUUCUCAUGACAUUUUGAUCCACUUGUGAUCAGCACAAGAUCAGUAUAAAGUUGAAGUUGAUCAAUUUGUGGAGCAUGGAUCCUGAAUAUACCGACGAUUUAUUAAACCAUUUGGAGAAGCAAACUGAAUUGCUUUUAGAAACUCGUAAAACGAUGACUCAAGAACUCCAAACACUUGAGGUGGAAGAAGAGAUGAUGAUGCGGAAAUUCUAUGAGUUAAUGUCUAGACAGCGCUUAAAUAAGAAGAAAAUGGAGAAGACUCAAAAUGUGUCACAUGGUAAAGAAAUAGUUGAAGUGGAAGAUACUUCUAGUACAUCCAGAGAGUUAAUCGUAUAUGUAAGGAAAAGGAAAAAGAAUCAAAAGCCAACAUAAUGAAGAUAUCCAUUUCUUGUUUAAGUGAUGGAUAUAGUUUUCACAUUGUUUAUGGUGUGCAAUAAUAAGUUGUAUUUUUUGAGUGAUGAAAAUUUAUACGGGUAUGUAGUCAUGAACCUUGUAAGAUGUUCUUGGGGUCAUAAGAGUUUUAUCUGAUCCUGCGAGACGAUAAUUUAAUAACAUUACAAGCAAAAUAUAUCCAUUGAAGUAAUCGUACUUUAAAGAUGCUAUGGAGAGAUUAU